AUUGAACGCUGGCGGCAGGCUUAACACAUGCAAGUCGAGCGGAGACUUCGGUCUUAGCGGCGAACGGGUGAGGAAUGCCUGGGAAUCUGCCUGGUAUGGGGGAUAACGUUCCGAAAGGAACGCUAAUACCGCAUACGUCCUACGGGAGAAAGCAGGGGACCUUCGGGCCUUGCGCUAUCAGAUGAGCCCAGGUCGGAUUAGCUAGUAGGUGAGGUAAAGGCUCACCUAGGCGACGAUCCGUAGCUGGUCUGAGAGGAUGAUCAGCCACACUGGAACUGAGACACGGUCCAGACUCCACGGAGGCAGCAGUGGGGAAUAUUGGGACAAUGGGCGAAAGCCUGAUCCAGCCAUG
rnacentral:rRNA from 1 species